rnacentral:rRNA from 1 species
CGCGUCUUAGCAUGCAAGUCGAGCGGCAGGGGCAGCAAUGCCCCGAGAGCGGCGGACUGGUGAGUAACGCGUGGGUGACCUGCCUUGAGGCUGGGGAUAGCCCCUAGAAAUAGGGGGUAAUACCGAAUACGUUUGCCGGACUGUGGACUGGCAAAGAAAGGGGCCAUGGCCCCGCCUCGAGAUGGGCCCGCGUCUUAUUAGGUAGUUGGGGGGGUAAAGGCCCACCAAGCCCGAGAUAGGUAGCCGGCCUGAGAGGGUGAACGGCCACACUGGGACUGAGAUACGGCCCAGACUCCUACGGGAGGCAGCAGCUAAGAAUAUUCCGCAAUGGACGAAAGUCUGACGGAGCGACGCCGCGUGGAUGACGAAGGCCGAAAGGUUGUAAAAUCCUUUUGCGGAUGAAGAAUAAGGGCGGCAGGGAAUGGCCGCUUGAUGACGCUAGUCCGCGAAUAAGCCCCGGCUAAUUACGUGCCAGCAGCCGCGGUAACACGUAAGGGGCGAGCGUUGUUCGGAAUUAUUGGGCGUAAAGGGCGCGUAGGCGGUCGAGCAAGUCUGGCGUGAAAUCCCCGGGCUCAACCCGGGAACGGCGUUGGAAACUGCGCGACUGGGGUCAUGGAGGGGUAGUUGGAAUUCCUGGUGUAGGGGUGAAAUCUGUAGAUAUCAGGAAGAACACCGGUGGCGAAGGCGAACUACCAGCCAAUGACUGACGCUGAGGCGCGAAAGUGCGGGGAGCAAACAGGAUUAGAUACCCUGGUAGUCCGCACUAUAAACGAUGCACACUAUGUGUUGGGCCGAGCGGUUCAGUGCCGGAGCGAACGUGAUAAGUGUGCCGCCUGGGGAGUAUGCCCGCAAGGGUGAAACUCAAAGGAAUUGACGGGGGCCCGCACAAGCGGUGGAGCAUGUGGUUUAAUUCGAUGAUACGCGAGACUUACUGGGUUUGACAUGCGGGGGACGUAUAGAGAUAUGCGCGGCACGCCCCGUGCAGUGCUGCAU